UUAAAGGAUGAUUUUUUUUUAAACCUUUGCCAAUCUAUUGAGAACAGAAUAGCAUCCUGCAAGAUGCUAUUUUAAGUCCAUCCCACGAUUUACUUCGUGAGUGGGGGAACUAUGAACCUUGAUACCGAGCCGUUCUGGUUCGGUAUCUCUUAGGUGCAUGUCUCUUGCUAUUGGGGACUUUUAAUGUUAUGAGUGGUUGGUACAUAAUUUGUCAUAGUUACACUGAUU
rnacentral:snoRNA from 1 species